CCUACGGGCGGCAGCAGUGGGGAAUAUUGCACAAUGGGGGAAACCCUGAUGCAGCGACGCCGCGUGAGUGAAGAAGUACUUCGUUAUGUAAAGCUCUAUCAGCAGGGAAGCAAAUGACGGUACCUGAGUAAGAAGCCCCGGCUAACCACGUGCCAGCAGCCGCGGUAAUACGUAGGGGGCAAGCGUUCUCCGGAUUUACUGGGUGUAAAGGGAGCGUAGACGGCAGUGCAAGUCUGGAGUGAAAGGCGGGGGCUCAACCCCCGGACUGCUCUGGAAACUGUACGGCUGGAGUGCGGGAGAGGUAAGUGGAAUUCCUGGUGUAGCAGUGAAAUGCGUAGAUAUUAGGAGGAACACCAGUGGCGAAGGCGGCUUACUGGACUGUAACUGACGUUGAGGCGCGAAAGCGUGGGGAGCAAACAGGAUUAGAUACCCCGGUAGUC
rnacentral:rRNA from 1 species